UGGAUCACCUCCUAACAGGGAGACAACAAAAUGUUUAAUAUUAUUAUUUUGUCACCUUAGGUCGAUCGGUAUCUCACGUUCUUAAUUUAUUAAGAAUUUCAUUUCCUAAGUUUUUCUAGGUCACACCCAUUAUUUUUCCUGGGCCAUUAGCUCAGGUGGUUAGAGCGCACCCCUGAUAAGGGUGAGGUCCCUGGUUCAAGUCCAGGAUGGCCCAUAUCUCUAUGUUGGGGGUAUAGCUCAGUUGGUAGAGCGCCUGCUUUGCAAGCAGGAUGUCAGCGGUUCGAGUCCGCUUACCUCCACUGAUUACCACCUCUUCCAUAUACGGUAGAAAGGAAAUUUUUUGAGUUGUGAUCAAAUUCUGAAAGAAUCUAGCUUCCUAAUGAAAACAUUAAGAUGCUGGACUCAUUGAAUUAAUUUCAUUGUUUUCAGAGAACCUUGACAACUGCAUAGAUUAUUUUUAAAGACAAUAAGCAUCUUUAAUGAUGCAGAUUUAUUAUUUGUGCGAGUGCAUUAAUAACAAUUCUAUUAAGCUGAUGCUUCAUUUUUGAAGUUAUUGGUCAAGCUACAAAGGGCUCACGGAGGAUACCUAGGCACACAGAGGCGAUGAAGG
rnacentral:tRNA from 1 species